rnacentral:tRNA from 1 species
GGCCUCGUAGCUCAGUUGGCUAGAGCAUUGACUGUACUUAAACUUUCCCUUAGUGGUGUGAGUUUGAAUCCCACCGAGGCCG